GGCAAGAUGGCCGAGUGGUUAUGGCGGAGGGUUCAAGCACCUACUCAUAUGAAAAUUGUGAUGUAACUUACCUGAUGAAAAUUCAGGACGCUUUCCUCUGGAGCAAUCCGCAGGGGUUCGAAUCCCCUUCUUGUCA